GCUCUAAGAUGAAAAGCAGGAACUGUGACCAAGAUUGGAAAAUGAGAACAACACAAAAAGAUCUCUUUUGUGCUCCUCUUCUCCAAGUUUAUAACAACCCCCUCCCCACCUGGCUUCUCGUGUUCUCUGUGGUCUGCCCUGCCUGGCUCAGGUCUUCUGCCACAGGGCGGGCCCCGCCGAUGGAUGGAGAGUUCCAAACCUGGAGCUGUGGUUGGCAAUCAGCAUUUCAAGCACCCAAAAUGUGUAGAAGAAUAUGGACCAAAGAAAGGAGCAGAAAGACAAAUAGAGGAAUGGAGAAUUUUGCCUGCGACUAUGAUGUUCUCAAGGUUAGCCGACCGUGCUCUAAAAUCCACCAAGAUUCCCAUUUUGGGAGUUGCUAUGUGACCAAGGUCUGCCCCUGUGGUAUGGGGACCACUUGCUCAUGCAGUUACAGUUCUUGCCUAACAGGAGCCCAUCAUGGUAAGAAAAAGACUCAAGUUGGUUCAUUUUUUUUUUAA
rnacentral:lncRNA from 1 species